rnacentral:rRNA from 1 species
CCUACGGGAGGCAGCAGUAGGGAAUCUUGGACAAUGGGGGAAACCCUGAUCCAGCGACGCCGCGUGAGGGAUGAAGUAUUUCGGUAUGUAAAGUCCUUUCAUCAGCGAAGAAAAUGACGGUACCUGACUAAUAAGCCCCGGCUAACUACGUGCCAGCAGCCGCGGUAAUACGUAGGGUGCAAGCUUUAUCCGGAUUUACUGGGUGUAAAGGGCGCGUAGACGGGAGAGCAAGUCAGAUGGGAAAUGCGGGGGCCCAACCCUAGAACUGCUCGGGAAACGGUGAUGCUGGAGGGCGGGAGAGGUAAGCGGAAUUCCUGGUGUAGGGGUGAAAUGCGUAGAUAUCAGGAGGAACACCGACGGCGAAGGCGGCUUGCUGGAACGUAACUGACGUUGAGGCACGAAAGCGUGGGGAGCAAACAGGAUUAGAUACCCGAGUAGUC